rnacentral:rRNA from 1 species
UACGGGGGGGGCAAGCGUUGUUCGGAAUUACUGGGCGUAAAGGGCUCGUAGGCGGCCAACUAAGUCAGACGUGAAAUCUCCACGGCUCAACCGGGAAACAGCAUCCGAAACUGGUAGCCUUGAGGUAUGGAGAGGGAAGUGGAAUUCCAGGUGUAGCGGUGAAAUGCGUAGAUAUCUGGAGGAACACCCGUGGCGAAGGCGGCUUCCUGGCCAUAUCCUGACGCUGAGGUGCGAAAGCCAGGGGAGCGAACGGG